rnacentral:rRNA from 1 species
GAAGGAGAAAAAAAAUAACGGUGAAACCCUAAACCGGCUAGCGAGCGACUCCAAUUCCCCCUCUUUCUCUCCCCCCACCUUUUCCUCCCUCGCACAGUCGCCGCCAUCCUCCAUCACCACGUCCCCAAGUCAGCGCCGCUGUCGCCAGAGUAAAAGAGCAGGGGAACGCGCAGCCAUCGAUCACGUGCACCGUCUCUCCCUCUACUUGAGGACUUGCGGCGAAGAAGUCGCCGGAGGCGGAGCUCGGCCCGGACAACGGCAGCUAGAGGACGUCAAGGCCCCGCCGGAGGAGGAGCCUGGCUGGAGGAGAGUGUGGUGCAGCCGUGCAGGGUGCCUCAUCACCAUCGUCGUCCUUGCCACCACGAGCGCCACUGAGGCCAGCCUCUCCUUCACACACAAAUCGUAGGGCUUGUUGUUGCUGCAAUUUAUUUGGUAUUAUGAACUCUAGCAUGACGAAUGGAUCUGGGGUGAUGGAUUUAACAAUCACUGGAGAUGGAUGCUGCCUUUGUGCAGUACUAGCAAUCAAAUGGAUUCGGGAUAAGGCAUUUGGAAUUGUGAAUGUGAGCAACCAAGCAAUCAGGCUUUUCAUCCUCCCGUUUUUGUGAAGGAGGUUUGCAGAAACAACAAUAGUGCAAAGCUUCACCGUCUCUGCAACACCAAUAUCCCUAAGGUUGAUGGUUAUGGUAUAAACUCAAUUGCUGAUAUCUUUUUUACUGGUUUUGGUUACAAGUCUCGUGAAGAACUAAGGUUUCCAGCAGAAAAAACUAAGAGCAUUAUGGUUUUCCCUUCCCAACAAUGAUGGAUACACCAGAACUCGUAUAUAUGGACCUUUGCCAAGGAUAUUCAUUUCUGAACUUAUUGUAGAUUAGCUGAGUGCUCCGAGCCAGAUAUGUAAUGUUGUUGCAAUUGCUGAGAUAAUGGAUGCAACACUAAUUUUACCAGUUCUGAAGCAGGACCAUAUGAAAAGACCAGAUGUGCACGAUCCAUACAAUGGUUUUUAUGGUCAUUCAAGUUGAGCGCCGAGACACUCGAGGUGAUGAGACACAACGGACUAGCUGAGUACCUACGUAGCUAAUCAUUGAUCUUGUCUUGAGUGAAAGGGUGUCGUUUGUUAAUUCAGAGACUGGCUAAAAGGUAACCCAUACGGCUUUAUUUGUUUAUUUCCCUUCUGAACCCUUAUUUACUUGGCUUAUGUUGAUGAUAUUUCUAAUCUUUGCAGGUAUACUCAACUGCAUCUUAGUUUUGUGCUCCUGCAUAUUGUUAUUGUGUUUAUUCCUAUCAGCUAAUAUAAAUAUCAUAACUCUCAAAGUUUUCAUUAUUAGUUUUUUUACAGAUUCUUGAAGCUUUGCGUGCUGGAUUCUCCAAUGUAAUUGAAGUAGCUCAACAUCAUGUAGUUACAUUGUCAUGGCUGCUAAGAAUGUUCUAGCUGCUGUGGCAGCGACAUCGUCUGUUCCUGCUUUCAGGGCACCCUACUGCAAAUACACCUUCUGGAUCAGAGUCCACCCGUCUAGGCGCCGCCAUCAUCCUCGCACCGUCGCGCGCUGCGCCGGAGACACGGACGAGGUCGAGCAGUAUGUGCCUUCGUCCUCUUCCCUCGGAGUGUGGGACCGAGGAUAAGGACGAGGAGAAGAAAUAUGUGGCAUCUUCAUCGUUGUCUCUUGGCGCGCGGUGCUGGAGAGACAGAAAAGGAGGUCGAGAGCUGGAAGUGCGGCAUAUUGUAGUGUUUUGUUUGAUGGGGAAAUAUCUUUGUAUGCCAGCAUAUUUUGUAGUGGUUUGUUUGAUGGGAACUACCUUUGUAUGCCUGCAUAUUUUGCUUAGGUAUUGAUGAUUCCAUGCUAAAUUUGUACAAGAUUAAAAAAAAAAUUGUGAGUGC